rnacentral:rRNA from 1 species
GGCGGCGUGCCUAAUACAUGCAAGUCGAGCGGACAGAUGGGAGCUUGCUCCCUGAUGUUAGCGGCGGACGGGUGAGUAACACGUGGGUAACCUGCCUGUAAGACUGGGAUAACUCCGGGAAACCGGGGCUAAUACCGGAUGCUUGUUUGAACCGCAUGGUUCAAACAUAAAAGGUGGCUUCGGCUACCACUUACAGAUGGACCCGCGGCGCAUUAGCUAGUUGGUGAGGUAACGGCUCACCAAGGCAACGAUGCGUAGCCGACCUGAGAGGGUGAUCGGCCACACUGGGACUGAGACACGGCCCAGACUCCUACGGGAGGCAGCAGUAGGGAAUCUUCCGCAAUGGACGAAAGUCUGACGGAGCAACGCCGCGUGAGUGAUGAAGGUUUUCGGAUCGUAAAGCUCUGUUGUUAGGGAAGAACAAGUACCGUUCGAAUAGGGCGGUACCUUGACGGUACCUAACCAGAAAGCCACGGCUAACUACGUGCCAGCAGCCGCGGUAAUACGUAGGUGGCAAGCGUUGUCCGGAAUUAUUGGGCGUAAAGGGCUCGCAGGCGGUUUCUUAAGUCUGAUGUGAAAGCCCCCGGCUCAACCGGGGAGGGUCAUUGGAAACUGGGGAACUUGAGUGCAGAAGAGGAGAGUGGAAUUCCACGUGUAGCGGUGAAAUGCGUAGAGAUGUGGAGGAACACCAGUGGCGAAGGCGACUCUCUGGUCUGUAACUGAC